rnacentral:lncRNA from 1 species
UUUUGUGUCGUACCUACGUCUUCUUUAUGGAUUAUGGUGACGGGAUCUUGAAUUUAAUGGGCAACUUGAAUUGUUGAAAACAAGAAUCGAAAUGAAUUUUUAUCCCCCUGUGUGUAUUUCUACACAAACACAAAGAUAACAUGUCAAGAGCCUAGAAGUAUAUACACAUCUAUGUUUUAUGGGGAGGGGCAGAAACUAGUGAGAGUAAAGAAGAUGGAACCACUGGCCAUUUAGCUGGAUUCCUUGGACAAUGCUAGUGGUUACGCAAAUUUUAGAUUAUUUCACACCAAAUGGGCUCUCAAAUCCUGAAAAUCUCACAAUUUGCUUCCUCUAGAACCUUCAUUCUCAAUUCAACCCAUUUCUCAAGAGCUGUACCGAAUUCAUUGGCCCCCAAUAAUUC